AACAAAAUGGAAGUCUUUGUAGAUGAUGAAGAGUUUGAUUUACAAUGAGUCGGGGAUUAAGUGUUUUCCCCUUCUUCAAAUGCUGUGUCGUUUUAAGAAAAGCCACAGAAAAAACACUUAUGGGCCGAGAGAAACCCAAGAUUUUUGACCGAUUUUUACGAAAUUUGGGCCGAUUUUUUUGUUAUUGGGCCGCAUUUUUUAUUAAUCGGUUUUCCGCCUACCACCACCGAGUCGCAGCGGUGUGCCACCUUCCAGCGCUUGGGCGGCCGCCGAGGUGGCUAGGCGACUAGGUUCUGGUUCACCCUUGGGCUGUAAUAGAAAUCGUAGGCCCACUUUCUUUUGUGGCCUGGUGAGAUGUAAGGCCCAGUCUUCUUUCUUGAGUUGACUUCAUUCCUGUGAUGACUUUUUCUCUUCUUCUUUCUUCUUCCAAACACAAUGUUUGCUUCUGCUCUUCUUCGUUCUUCAUUCUUCUCUUUAAUUUCUGUUUCUCUAUUGUGAGAUUUAAUCAAGGAUCAACAUUCAACACUCCCUCUUGAAUCCUUUGAUUAAAUCCCCAAUUCCAAUCUAGGGGUUUUGUUCCCAUCACUCCUUAUUCUUUUCUUGUGAUUCAACCUCCCUCUUGAUAUGAAUCUCCAAGAAUCCAGCUUUUGCAUUUGCGAAUUUCUUUGCCCCCUCUUGACAGAUUUGAUUCGCAAUCUUCCUCUGUUUUGUGAGCUUUCCUCACUUCUCCACCAGCUGCUUCUGCAACUAGCUUCUGCUCACUAUCUGGUGAGCUCUUUCUUCUCAGCUUGGUGUCUUCCUUGAUCACCAGCUUCCUUGCAGGAGACACAUCAACUCUGGGUUUUCUUCUCUUUCCCGUGAGCCUUCUCCAUGUCUCCUUCAAGCUUUCUCCGUGAGCUUCUCUUCACGUUACUACCACCGUGAACGUCCGUCAUGUUUUCGUCGGCUUAAUUCUCCAGCCAGUUUCUGCUCUUCUUUCACUCUUUAGGUUUGCUUGAUUUUGAUGCUGGUUUUUCUCCUCCAUUUCUCUGAUGGUUGAGAAUUUCCAGCAACUCCCUCUGCCUCCUUGGUCUUCAACUUAGACCUCAGUCAUGGUGCUUUUCUUCCUCCAGUAGAAGCCAACUUCCUGUUUGGCCGUCGCCGUCUUCGUUCUGUCAUCUUCACGUCAUUCUGGGCUGUCUCUGCAGCUUUUUCAGCUUCCUUUCUCUUAGGCUCCUUCUCUUCAUCUUCAUCGUCGUCGUCGUCAUCACCACCAUCAUCGUCUUCGUCGUCUCCGUUCCAUCCUCAUCACCUUCUCUUCUUCUUCGCUGCCAUCUUCAUCUCCAUCUCUGCUUUCUUCUUCUGUAGGUUUCUUCUUUUCACCUCCCUCAGCAACCACUUCCAUAUUCUCUCCACUUUGAUGGCUGCAAGGUUUUCGGCUUUGGAAGCUCCAAGAAUAACUACAGCUCUGAUACCAUGUUGACAUUCUUCCCUUUCUCUCUCAUUCACUCAGGUGAAAACGUGGCGGGUUUGGAGGUGAAGAAGAUAAAUCUUAAUAUAUGCGUUCCAGCAAUUUGCAGUAACGACUCCUCAAUAAUCAUAUGUUAUUGCUGUCUUCGAAAAGAAAAGUUAUGUUGGGGGG